CCUGAUUACCUUCCCUAUGUAUGUCACUCCCUUUGGUUCCUUCCCAAGGCGUCAUUGUUUCUGUUUCAGUUUCAUGUCUGUGUGCUGUUAGUGUUUCGUAUUAUGUUCCUUUUGUUUUAUUGGAACACUCACUUCCCGAACUUGUUUCCCGACUCUCAGCGCACAUCGUUACAACGCCAAUGGACUACCUUCAGGGACUGAUGGAGAAGGAUGUACAGGUUUUUGAUCAGGUGAGACUGAACAUGGACAAGCCUCAGGAGAAACAGAAGGAGAGCUACCGGAUAAGAAUCAAGAAGGGGACCAAGUGCUACGACAUCCGGGUGAAUUACUUGGUUUGGAAGAAGGACAAAAGGAAGGCGAGACCUGGGAAACCUCGCUGCUCUUUUGCUCCUAGCUGGGGCCACCAUCUGUUAAAGGUUACCUCGUGGAAGCCAACAAUAUCCUACAGUUGGAGCAGUUGGACGGUCGAACAUUGGAAGCACUGACGCUCUACACUUCAGUGAAGCCCCAUAGACAAAGACCAUAGACUGUCUGAGCCCCCCAGGAGGCAUCCCAUCCACCAGAACCAGUGAGUUUGGAUCAGUCUGAUUCUCUGUGCUGAGUUGGAGGGGGACCAAAUAGAGG